rnacentral:lncRNA from 1 species
AGUGGAGGAAGCAAACCCUCCUGCCAACAGCCCCGGGUCUGAGCUUGAGCUUGGAGGUGGGCAGCCCAGCCUCAGACGACCGCGACCCCAGCCGACUGCUUGACCACAGCCUCAUGAGGAACCCUGGGCCAGAACCACCCGCUAAACCCCUCUCAGCUUCCUCAACCUCAGAAACCGGGCCCGCUAAUGCUCGGAGACAGGAAGAGGCAGACUCAGAGGCUCCGGUGGGAUGGGGCCACCUCUCCUCACCAGCAAGGAGGUAAAGAGCAGAAGCUCAAAGUCCUCAGCUCACAUUCCACCCGGAACGGUGAAAAGGUGUCGCUAAGACUAACAGGAUGCAUCAGUGCUUGUCUUUUCCAGAAACCAACCAGCCACAUAAGAAAUCUUUAAUUAACAAACAUAUUUAUAAGAGUGGAAAAAAUCAGAUCAGUGGGAAUGAAGCAACUGACCCGAGUUCUUCCCUGGCCGCCCGGGAGAAGAUGAUGGAGACAGCACGUAACAUUCUGUUCCUCUGCUUUGCUCAUCUCCAGGCUGUCGGGAUGAUGGAAAAAGUGCAUCUUACCCUGGAACCAGUUUGAUAAGGUGGAAACAUUCUCAAACAAAAGUCGUAAGACGGAGUUUGUGCCUGGAAUCUAUUGAAAUUUGCUAUAGGCUGAAUGUUUGUAUCCUCUGAAAUCCACAAAUUGAAACUUAAUUCCCAAUGGGAUGAUAUUUGUAGAUGGGGCCUGUGGGAGGUGAUUAGGUCAUGAGAGUGGAGCCCUCAUGAAGGGGACUAGUGCUCUUAGAAGAGGCCCCAGAGAGCUCCCUUCCACCUUCCACCAUGUGAGGACUCAGUAAGAAGGCGGCCUCUAUGAACCAGGAAGUGGGCGCUCACCAGACACCUAACCGGAU